GCGGCUUGCUCCCGUGCUUACUGGAGGUGGCAACAUAAAUACCUUCUGCCGAGAUACACAACGUUUGCACCUAUUGCGCAAGCAUUGGUCGCUUCGUCACUAUUUUUCUACUAUAUCAACUAUAGCAAGUUGCAAGUGCAUAGAAAAUAUAA
rfam:Tropilaelaps mercedesae isolate Wuxi-XJTLT scaffold0000006135, whole genome shotgun sequence.